rnacentral:rRNA from 1 species
UACGUAGGGGGGCAAGCGUUGUCCGGAUUUAUUGGGCGUAAAGAGCGUGUAGGCGGCUAGGUAGGUCCGCUGUGAAAACCCGAGGCUCAACCUCGGGCCUGCAGUGGGUACGGGCAGACUAGAGUGCGGUAGGGGAGAUUGGAAUUCCUGGUGUAGCGGUGGAAUGCGCAGAUAUCAGGAGGAACACCAAUGGCGAAGGCAGAUCUCUGGGCCGUAACUGACGCUGAGGAGCGAAAGCAUGGGGAGCGAACAGG